GUUGACCUCGGAUCAGGUAGGGAUACCC
rnacentral:ncRNA from 23 species